GAUGAACGCUGGCGGCGUGCCUAAUACAUGCAAGUCGAGCGAACAGACGAGGAGCUUGCUCCUCUGACGUUAGCGGCGGACGGGUGAGUAACAAGUGGAUAACCUACCUAUAAGACUGGGAUAACUUCGGGAAACCGGAGCUAAUACCGGAUAACAUGUUGAACCGCAUGGUUCAACAGUGAAAGACGGUCUUGCUGUCACUUAUAGAUGGAUCCGCGCCGCAUUAGCUAGUUGGUAAGGUAACGGCUUACCAAGGCAACGAUGCGUAGCCGACCUGAGAGGGUGAUCGGCCACACUGGAACUGAGACACGGUCCAGACUCCUACGGGAGGCAGCAGUAGGGAAUCUUCCGCAAUGGGCGAAAGCCUGACGGAGCAACGCCGCGUGAGUGAUGAAGGUCUUCGGAUCGUAAAACUCUGUUAUUAGGGAAGAACAAAUGUGUAAGUAACUAUGCACGUCUUGACGGUACCUAAUCAGAAAGCCACGGCUAACUACGUG
rnacentral:rRNA from 1 species